rnacentral:misc_RNA from 1 species
UUUCCGUAGGUGAACCUGCGGAAGGAUCAGUAGAGAUUGCCGGCGCAAGCCGGUCCUACACCACACACACCCGUGAACCGUCGGGGACAGCGAAUUGGCCUCGUGCCUUAAUAGCGCCCGCACCUGGAGUCAGCGAACUGGCCUCGCGCCUUAAUAGCGUCCUUUACAAACUCUUAGAAACGUAACGAACGUAGUCUUAUUUUAACAAAUAAAACUUUCAACAACGGAUCUCUUGGCUCCC